rnacentral:rRNA from 1 species
CACGUAGUUGGCCGGUGCUUCUUCUGCAGGUACCGUCACCUCACGGCUUCGUCCCUGCUGAAAGAGGUUUACAACCCGAAGGCCGUCAUCCCCCACGCGGCGUCGCUGCGUCAGGCUUCCGCCCAUUGCGCAAUAUUCCCCACUGCUGCCUCCCGUAGGAGUCUGGGCCGUGUCUCAGUCCCAGUGUGGCCGGUCACCCUCUCAGGCCGGCUACCCGUCGUCGCCUUGGUAGGCCACUACCCCACCAACAAGCUGAUAGGCCGCGGGCCCAUCCCCAGCCGAAAAACUUUCCACCACUCCCCAUGCGGACAGCGGUCAUAUCCGGUAUUAGCCCCAAUUUCUUGGAGUUAUCCCAGAGCCGGGGGCAGGUUGCCCACGUGUUACUCACCCGUUCGCCACUAGAACACCCACCCGAAGGCAGGGUCUCGUUCGACUUGCAUGUGUUAAGCACGCCGCCAGCGUUCGUCCUGAGCCAGGAUCAAACUCU